rnacentral:lncRNA from 1 species
CCCAAAUGCAGUAAAGAUACUAAAUAUGCAGCGAGCGUAUGAUAUGGAUAUAUGAAUUACAAAUUAACUUUUUAGACAAAAGAUGCAUGUAUCCCAAAAGAUGUGAAGUACAUAAACUGACAAAAUGGGUCAUCCAGCUAUGACAAUGCGUGGCUCAACUUGGUAGACCAACAAGCUCUAAUGCGGCGCAAUUCAGCUACUAUCUAAUAAGAAAAAGAGUGACAAAAUAUAUGAUCUUGUAACUUAGUGAGUGGAUAAUUCUCCAUUAAGUAAACAUUUUCCAUUUUGCUAACUUUCUGAAAACACUUAAGUUAUUAUUACCACUUUAAAAAUAAUAUGAAAGCUGAUAAUAAUUUAAAAACUGAAAUGUUAUGAAAUCAUAAAAUUCUUUACUCUUAUUCUGAAUAUACCGUUGUAAGGUUUAACGGAUAUAAUAGAUCUGGCAUAUGUAGUAUGAGUAAAAAUUCUUUCAGAGUACUAUAAGCUGAAAUUUUUAUUUUGUUAAACUAAAUAAACAAAAAGUACACAAAACAACCAUACUCAUGUAUCAAUAAAUAUCUAUGUACAUGGCAAAGCUACUCAAUUAUGAAAUUAUGAGAUUCUAAAAUUUUGGUCAUACACGCAUAGCUGUCCAAAGGCUAUAAUUUGGUUAUACACUAUGAAAAUAUAUUCGCAAUAGUGUAGAGUGGGUAAAAUCACCAUAACUAGUCAUGCACUUUGGAAACACAUUAACGAUAGUGUAGAGCGGAUAAAAUAACAAAAACUAGUCAUACAUUGUGGAAACACAUUCAUACAAAUGCAGACUUGGGCAUAAUCACCUAAGUACUUCGUGGUGGUUUUAAAAAUAACUUUAGAUAAGUUCAAAUAUGUAAUAUGAAUAUAACAUGCUAAGAAAUGAUUUAAUUGAGCUAAAUUUAACUUUAAAAAGAACUGACUGUAAAAUCCAUUUUAUUCUGAAAGUGAAACCAACUAGAUGAAAUAAUUAACUUUCUAAUUUAAUCUAAAUUUAAUAAAUACUUAUUUCUAAAAAAAUAAGUUUUUCACUCACACACUGCGAAUUACAGACUAGGAUAGUCGGUAAGCUUUUUAAAUCUCUUCGUCACUACCUGAAAUACGAUACAAGAUAACCAAUUUCAGCAUCUACUAAAUAAAGAAAUCUUUAAUAUCUAAUGAUAUAAUACUUAAACUAAAUUUUUUGACACUAAAUUAAAUGUUUCAAAUUUCCCUCUAGUCAAUUGGAGCUAAUUUUACUUUCUCAUACCUUCACAAAUAGUACUAUAUACAAAUUUACCUCCAUUCCAAUCAUAAAAAUAAUUACACCAUUCAAUCUAUUGAAAACUACACAAACAACUCAACCAACUUAACUUUCAUCGUGCUUCAUAAAUUCAUGCUUUCAUGUGUGUAUUUCAUCACCACAAUCAUUUUCACUAGCAAUAUUUAUUCAAGAACACAAAUAAGAAAUCUAGGAUUUGCCCCAAAAUGGUAUUUCUUACGUUAACCAAUCUGGGAACUUACCUAACAAUGGCACUCCUUUCUCUUAAUCU